CUACGGGAGGCUGCAGUGGGGGAUAUUGCACAAUGGAGGAAACUCUGAUGCAGCAACGCCGCGUGAGGGAAGAAGGUUUUCGGAUUGUAAACCUCUGUCCUUGGUGAAGAAACAAAUGACGGUAGCCAAGGAGGAAGCCACGGCUAACUACGUGCCAGCAGCCGCGGUAAUACGUAGGUGGCAAGCGUUGUCCGGAUUUACGGGGUGUAAAGGGUGCGCAGGCGGGACUGCAAGUUGGAUGUGAAAUACCGAGGCUUAACUGCGGGGCUGCAUCCAAAACUGUGGUUCUUGAGAGAUGUAGAGGUAAGCGGAAUUACGAGUGUAGCGGUGAAAUGCGUAGAUAUUCGGAGGAACACCAGUGGCGAAGGCGGCUUACUGGGCAUUUUCUGACGCUGAGGCACGAAAGUGUGGGGAGCAAACAGGAUUAGAUACCCGCGUAGUC
rnacentral:rRNA from 1 species